AUGGAUAUUCUAUUAAUUGGAUUAAGGUUAAAUGCAAGGAAGAAUGAAGCUAUGAUCCAUAAUCUCUUAAAUCAUAUAAGAAGUAUUCAUGAAAAAGUACAGAAAUCACAUGGAUGUGUAUUCUACUAUUUGGAUUAAGGUUAAAUGGAAGAAAGCUAUAAUCCACUAUCUCUUGAAAAAUUAUGGAAAAAGAUUUCAUGAAAACCUACAGAAAUCACAUGGAUGUGUAUUCUACUAUCUGGAUUAAGGUUAAAUGGAAGAUAGCUAUAAUCCACUAUUUCUUGAAAAAUGAUGGAAAAAGAUUUCAUGAAACCUACAGAAAUCACAUGGAUGUGUAUUCUACUAUUUGGAUUAAGAUUAAAUGGAAGAAAGCUAUAAUCCACUAUCUCUUGAAGAAGUUUUCAUGAAAAACUACAUAACUCAUUUGCUAAACUAUAAUGGUAUUAAAUCAGCACCAUAUUCAUUCAACUAUAUAACAGGUCUAUCUCUGAAAAUAUCCUUAGACUACUUGUUUAAAUUAUAAGGAUAAUGAUGGAUGGGAUUGGAUAUUGAUAAACUCAAGUCUAUUGAAAAAUCUUCUUUAUAUUAUAAUGAUGGACAAUAAUACUUAUGUUGUGCGCGACGAAUGCAUCCAACAACGUUUAUGUUCACUUGCACACCAAGAUGCUAGGAAUGUGUAUAGCUACUCUAUGAUGACAAUUUUAUUGGAGAAACGUGAGAAUUCAAAGAAUUUCAUCCUGCCAUGACUUUGUUUAUGAAUAUGAAGAUUUUUUCUUGUUGUUGUGUUUGAUCUCAUGCAAAAUCGCAUCAGUUAUUUGCGAUGCAAGCAACGAAGACCAUCGGCCUAUUAAUGUUGUUUACCAAUUGUCAAAAGCUUACGUCACUCGCAUUGUAUUAUAUAAUAGUUGAUACGGUGCUAUUAUGUGCUAUUCAUUCAUACUUAGAACUAGUUCACUUCAUGAUUUUUUUAUGUUGAAGUACAAGAAUCAAAACUAUACAUAAUAUCAAUUAUAAUUUUAAUUAUAAUUACUGAAUAAUAUUUGUCGGAGUAUCUAAUACAAAGCAGCGAUGUUGUUUUCACCCUGGAGCGUGUAAGCAAUGGUUCUGCCAAAUAACACUGUCAGCACUUGGGAGAACAAGGAUGGACAUGUUUGCAUGAUCGGGGCAACACAUCUUCGGGCAUUUCAGGGAAAGAGGGUAUUUCCUUGGAGAAGACCCCACAUUAACACAACUUCUCCAAGACUUUAAAAAAACAGUCCUACGCAACCCCUCAGUGAUGUAAAACAUUCUUCCUACGCUUUUUCGUGCAGUGAAGUGUUAUUUGUUUAAGUGCAUAUAUAUUUUUGUCCUCGCUCAGUUCAUUUAUUUCAUUUCACUGUACUCUGUUACUAAUAUU